ensembl:lncRNA
CCCUGUGUGAUCGUCACGUGGUCUCCUGUUCUGCCUCUGGUCAAAGCACCAGUCACUGGUGCCGGCUCCACCCCAAGGCAGCGUGGCUUCCUGCCGGUGGCAACGCUGGAAGGGUGGGAACGGGGGACACGCUUCUGGGGGCUGCAGCACACCCGCUGCGGGCUUGUCCUAGGCCCUGCAGGGAAUGGUGGUGGCGUGGGCCUGGCUCCAAGACUGUGGGCGUUUGCUUCUCCACAUGUGGCUGGGGCUCCUGUGAGCACAAGGGGGUUUUUCCUCCAGGCGCUCGGGCCCCUGGAGCCCACUGAGGCGCUGCUGUCCGCGGAGACCAAGGGCAGCGAGAUGGACCCUGGGAGGGAAGACGCGCUGCUGGUGAUGGAGGAGGAGACCUCAGCCUCAGCGCCCGGAGCCGGGCCCUGCCCUGCACCCACAGGCCCUGGGGGGAGCCCCGAGCCGCAGGCAGCAGCUUCUGGAACGAGUCCCACGGGCCCUGGGCAGGCACCGCACCCCGAUCCUGCUGCCCGGGGGGCCCGGAACCGGACCAAGGCGGCAGCCUCCCUGGAGGAGCUGGAGCAGGAGUAUGCAGAGCAGUACGUCCUGAUGGACACGUCCGGUCCUGGCAUCAGUGCGUGUUACUACCACUUCGUGCGUGAAGUUCCGAGAGACAGAUGGAACAUGUUUAUGCGGUUUGUCGGGCUCCAGGAGAACGAGAUUGCCAGUUGUGAGGAGGAGAACCCCAAGAACGUGGUGGAGCAGCACUACAGGAUGCUGGUGCUGUGGCGGGACAGACAGGGCAGCCGCGCGACGGUGUUCCGGCUCAUGGCUGCCCUCCAGAAGCUGCAGGAGGACAUGCCCCUGCAGAACACCCUGAACAAACUGGUGGCUGAGCGCAUCCUGGGUAAACGCCACGGCGGAGACACGCCACACGCAGCCUCGUGACACGCGGCCGUGUCCCCGGGACCUGGGUCGAGCUACGCGGCCCUCUCCCCGCAGCAGGCCUUCCUCCGGUUUCCCCAGGGACAUCCAUGCCAUUCUGCUUGUGUCCUGCAUGGCCUCCGGGGGCCCCGUGGUCCUCAGAGCACCUGCUGUCCUGUGUGUGUGAUGCUUGCGUGGCCUGGAUAGCUGUGAACACUCAGUACUUCCCACGCGCAUGUCCUGUGCGUGCCAGCACUGGUGUGUGAGUCCUGGCUGCUCCACUUCCCGUCCAGCUUCCUACCAGUGUGCCAGGGAGGCGGCAGCCGAUGGCUCCGUUUCCCACUUGGGAGACCUGGUCGGGCCUCAACCACGGUGGCCAUUUGGGGAGUGAACUGGCAUGCAGAAGCCCUGUCUGCUGCCUCUCCUGUGCAGGACUGGCCCUACGGAGUGCGUGUCCCAGAACUUGUUUUUCUAAAAAAGCUUUAUUUAUUUCAAAGAGUUAGGGAGAGCAAGCUUCCACCCACCGGUUCACUCCCAGGUGGUCGUGUUAGGAAGUUAGAAAUCCAGCCUGUGUGUGGGUGAGAAGGGCCUGAAGACCAGCACCUACUGCGGAAGCUCUAGAAGCCCAGCAUCUUGCACUUUUUUAAAAAGAUUAUUUAUUUGAAAGUCAGAGUUACACAGAGGAGGAGAGGCAGAGAGAGAGAGAGAGAGAGGGAGGUCUUCCAUCUGCUGGUUCCCUCCCCAAUUGGCCGCAAUGGCCGGUGCUGUGCAGAUCCAAAGCCAGGAGCCAGGAGCUUCUUCCAGGUCUCCCACAUGUGUGCAGGGGCCCAAGGACCUGGGGCCAUCCUCUACUGCCUUCCCAGACCAUAGCAGAGAGCAGGGUCAGAAGUGGAGCAGCCGGGACUUGAAGUGGCGCCCGCCGGCCCCACAUUUUGCACUUUAAUUCCUGCCCAGACCCUGAUAACCCCCCAGGUAGCCCUUCCCCCAAGGAAAGCUCCCAGGAGAACUCUCUCCCAGGAUCAGA